ACCGACUCCAUUCGACCGACCGACUUCAUCCGACCGAUCAAUUCCGCCCGACCGACGGUGGGCGACACCGACAGCGACUACCGACUGUACCCCGACCGGAGCGGAUUGGCCUAACGAGCCUACGUCGCCUCCGAUCGCCUGAGAGCCGACCCCCCGUCACUGACUUUCUAUCGGGUGAGACACCGCCGACUCACCAUCAGUUUGGAUGACUGAC
rnacentral:lncRNA from 1 species